rnacentral:rRNA from 1 species
UUGGGUUAAGUCCCGCAACGAGCGCAACCCUUAUCCUUUGUUGCCAGCGAUUAGGUCGGGAACUCAAAGGAGACUGCCAGUGAUAAACUGGAGGAAGGUGGGGAUGACGUCAAGUCAUCAUGGCCCUUACGACCAGGGCUACACACGUGCUACAAUGGCGCAUACAAAGAGAAGCGACCUCGCGAGAGCAAGCGGACCUCAUAAAGUGCGUCGUAGUCCGGAUUGGAGUCUGCAACUCGACUCCAUGAAGUCGGAAUCGCUAGUAAUCGUGGAUCAGAAUGCCACGGUGAAUACGUUCCCGGGCCUUGUACACACCGCCCGUCACACCAUGGGAGUGGGUUGCAAAAGAAGUAGGUAGCUUAACCUUCGGGAGGGCGCUUACCACUUUGUGAUUCAUGACUGGGGUGAAGUCGUAACAAGGUAACCGUAGGGGAACCUGC